UUAGGUAAAACAUGGGGUUGUCAACCCCAAGAGGCUUAAGUUUUGCACUUUCUUAUGAAACAUGCC
rnacentral:tRNA from 1 species